CAAGGAUGCAGCCUUGAGAGAAUGUGUGGUUGAGGCCUUCAGGACCUGUAUCUGUGGCAGAAUCCUGUGAAGGGCACUGUAUGAACCUUUAAGAUGCUGGCGGCAGCCACGGAGAUCUGCUCGUCUGGCGGCUGCCUACGACAAGCCUCAUAAGUGCCAAACUGAGCAGCCUCAGAGAAGUAUCUGAGCAAGUCAGAGCAAUCUGAUUCCAUUUUGCUUCUGGUUGGAGCACUGGAACUCAGCUAUUCAGUUCUACUCAAGCAGAGAGGCUCUCUCUUUAACUAUCACAGUGAUUUCUGGCAAUUUAACAUUGUGUUACGCAGCAUGGAGAUAAUCACCAAUAGAGUAAGGAUCCUUGCAGGCAUCAGGGUUCCAUCGUCUGGCUGAUGGAUUCACACCUGUGUGUACAACCACUGAACUGGACUGACAUCCCAUGACCAGUAAGGAUGAGGAAGCAAAGCCUGGUAUGGGUC